UGGGGGAUAUUGCACAAUGGGCGAAAGCCUGAUGCAGCGACGCCGCGUGGGGGAUGAAGGCUUUCGGGUUGUAAACCUCUUUCGCUAUCGAACAAGGCCCGCUUAGGGUGGGUUGAGGGUAGGUGGAGAAGAAGCGCCGGCUAACUACGUGCCAGCAGCCGCGGUAAUACGUAGGGCGCGAGCGUUGUCCGGAAUUAUUGGGCGUAAAGGGCUUGUAGGCGGCUUGUUGCGCCUGCUGUGAAAACGCGGGGCUUAACUUCGCGCGUGCAGUGGGUACGGGCAGGCUUGAGUGUGGUAGGGGGGACUGGAAUUCCAGGUGUAGCGGUGGAAUGCGCAGAUAUCUGGAGGGAAACCGAUGGCGAAGGGAGGUCACUGGGCCAUUACUGACGCUGAGGAGCGAAAGCAUGGGUAGCGAACAGG
rnacentral:rRNA from 1 species